AGUUCCAGAUGAGGCAUAAGUCAUGACAGCAUUUUACCAUGUUAGUGAAUUAUAGAAGAGUCAAUGGACUGAGCCUGAGGAGACCUGAGUUCAAGUCCAGACUCUAUUCCAUUUGGGAGUGAUUUUUACGUAUCAUGUGAGAUUAACUGUAAUAAUUGACAUUCACCCCCUGGAGCUGGGAUAGAAAGCCGAUUUACAGCAUCGCUGAGCAGGAAAAAAGAGAUGGCUGUUGAACAGGAGGCAACAUGCAAUGACAUAAUUAAGUACAUGUGCGGGUUUGGCAUAUGGGUAAAUUGCAUGUCACAGUUGUUUGGUGUACACAUUAUUUCAUCACCCAGUUGUUAAUGGAAUUCUAGCCAAAAGGAUGUGGGAGGAGAGGAAGGAGCCACAAAGGGAGAAUCAUGCCUAAGAGUUAACUAUGGUACUCUGAAGCAGAACAGAGGUAUGUGUUAAAUUUUUAUACUGUAAGUAUAAUUCCUUUGAAAAUUUUGAUGUCUCCUGAGAUAUUAUACAAUGACUCAUUAUUGAAAUAAUAUGAAAUAGAAUAAAAAAUGCACUUUGUGACUUCUAACUGACAUGCACUCAUCUCUAUUUCCCCUAAGUCAACAAUUUUAUUUAAUCUACCUUGAAAAGAAAAAACAAAUCUGAAAUUCAAAAGGCUACAAAUUUGGGUCCAGGUCAUACUAGAGCAAGUAAAGGCAGGUAUAAUUUAAUUAAUUUUUAAUUUAUCUCUGGUGGUCACGGUUGUUGGGAGUCAGAUGUGGGGGAUUUGGGCAGCCAUGUGCUGCCAUUGCCAUGGAGAACAGAACUGCCUAAGCUGAUGAGCAGUGAGAAACAGAAUUUAGAGAAGAAACAGGAAGUCCUAGCUACAUGCAGGUCCUGGUUCAUAUGGUUUCUGAGUUGAGCCUUCCUUGGAUUCCAUGAACCAGUUUGCCAGUUAUUUACCUAUUAUCUCUCAGCUUCAAUCAGCCCUUCUGUAUUCUGCAAACUGCAUUUCCCAGGCCCCUCUGCUAGCUGGCUUCCCAUGAGCUUAUAAGAGGCACUAAAGGACAUAAGAAUGCCCAAGGGAAAGAGCCUGUCCUUUCUGUUUUCUGUUUUUGGCAGCAUCUUUGCACUAGUGGCAGUUGGCUGCAGCUUCCAGUGUCUUGGCCCCUGAGUAGCAGCCUUAGCACAGGCCCCCAGAGGCGCCAACAGCAGCUGGAAGGGAGCUGCCUCUUCCUCAGCAAUCUUAGUCCACAGAGCACCUCCCCUGAAAUCCAUGGCCCUGGGAACAUACUCCUUCUAUUCUGUUUCCCCAGCGUUCCCCCUCCUAGAGGAGGUAGUUUCUUCCUGCAGUUACCAUUUCUGAGUUAGUUCAGGGUCCCUUUUUUGCCCUUUCAUGCUUCCAACAUCUGUGAAACUAUUUCCUCUACUAUAUAUGAUUCCCUCAGAUAACUAAGUGUGAUAUUUAUUUUUCUGAGUGAUACAUAAAUAACUCCCCCUUGUCUAGGUAGUUUAAACUAAAUUGAUUUCUUGCAAUCAAAUUGCUCUUGACCAACACAAGUACACUUUAUGGUUACUGAGUAGAACAGCAAAACAAACACAGAGUGUUUUUUACUUGCUUAUUGUCUGUCUCCCUACAAUAGAAUGAAUAUAAAGUGUUGAACUGCUUUAUAUACAUGAUUUUAUUUAAUACUCUCCUUGCUGUGAGGUCGGUGUAUUGAUCAAAGAGGUCUGCUUCAGCAUUCAUUUCUACCCCUUCACAACUCCUGCACACACAUGCAUGCUCAAACACUGUGUUCCCACAGUCACUUAAGCUCUUUCCCUGCCUCUAACAGUGACCAGGUGGGCAGACUUCAUACUUGUUUUUAAGGAACUAGUUUAUUCCUAAUACCAAAGAAGAAAGGACCUCUGCAUGCCAGACUGAAAUGACAUCUAAUUUGUGAGUGAUACUUCCAAAGAAGCAGAACCAAAACUGUGAAUACUGUCUGCAGCCUGGUAGCUCCGAAAGACAGACCUGGGACAAAGGGCGCUGGGAUUUGAAUAGACAGACUGAGGUCCUCGCUUUCCAGAAACUUAUUUUAGUAACUAAGCCUUGCAAAGAAACUUUUGAGGCUCCAAGGCCAGGGAUGGGGCUUUUAUCUCAUUUAACAUAUUAGAGGCAUGAAUCUUUGACCAGAUUACCUCCUAGUUACUAGGAGGUAACGAGGGUAUAGGAAUGAUUAUAGACGGACCCACUGUAAGAUCAUCCACUGGGUGCCAGAGCACUCUGCCUUGAUUCCCGACUCAUACAGAUUCCUUACUGUGCUGUAUCCUUACUGUUCAAUCCAGUAAAGCUUUUGUUAAAGAAAAAAUGUGAUACUCACCUAGCAGGGACCAGUAAUUUGGUGAAGGACCAAGUUAAUGGGUUUUAUUUCACAUUUGUGGAAGCUGAGGCAUAGUUAGAUUAAUUAACUUACCUGGGACCACACAGAUAAGAGGUGAAAGAUCUCGGCUUUGAAGCUAUAUAGCUCCAAAUCUCAUAUAUUUAACCAUUAUAAUGAAUUGUUUUAUCUCCUUCCGAAUGAGAUCAAGAAGUGAUUUCUUUCUAUCCCUUCCCUGUCUUUCACUGUUGCUCUCAGUUUAUAGGGCAUUGCCUUGCAUUGAGCAGAAAUUCAAAGAAUGAAUAUUGAAUAUCAUUCAAUAUUUUGAAUGAGUGUUUUUAAAAAGACACUCUUGAUGAACUUAAUCUUCUUUCCAUUGUCCAAAGAGAUCUUGCUCCAGGGCCUUUGAGGAAUUUUCAAGCAGUUUCUGGGAAGUCAGAUCUCUGCUUUAUCCAGAACAGUUCUGCUGUUUUCUCUGUUGUAUAAUACAUAAUCUGUUUUACAUAAGAUUCAUCUGAGAAGAGACUUCUGCUACGAAAACAAUUUUGAAGAUUCUUGUUAUAGAGAAGACUGUUCAAGCUACCCAAACUACUUCCUUUAUAUAUAUAUUUUUAAUUUUCUUUUACCAAGAUUCCUAAAGAAACAGAUAUUUUCAUACUUUUUUUGACAUUUAAAAAGUUGGGCCAUGAAAUCUUUAGAGGCAGGCCACUGGUAUUAAAAUAUUGAUGGUAGAAAAAAGAGAUAGAAAUUGGUGGUGACAAAGGAGGCACUACAUGAGGAAUAGAAGUUAUGCUCUUACUGCACAUCCUUGGAGAAAACACGAGCCAUGUUCCUGAACCUCUAAAUGUCAUUGCUGUCAAGGAAGAAGCUGCUGCAAUGGUUGGGACAGAGAUUGAUGAAAUCUUAGAGCAGGGGUCCGCAACCCCCAGGCCGUGGACUGGUACCAGUCCAUGGCCUGUUAGGAAAUGGGCCACACAGCAGGAGGUGAGCAUGGGCGAGAGAACAUUACCACCUGAGUUCUACCUCCUGUCAGAUCAGUGGCAGCAUUAGAUUCUCACAGGAGCGCGAACCCUAUUGUGAACUGUGCAUGCGAAGGAUCUAGGUUACGUGCUCCUUAUGAAAAUCUAUCAAAUGCCUGAUGAUGACCUGAGAUGAAACACUUUCAUCCUGAAACCACCUCCCUCACCAACCAGUUCAUGGAAUAAUUGUCUUCCCUGAAACUGGAACCUGGUGGCAGAAAGGUUGGGGACCACUGCGUUAGAGGACCCUGCCAGGCCUGGGUUCUGCUAGAUUCACUUUCUCAUUGCAUUUUGGCUCUGCUCACCUGUCACCUUCACAGAGGGUCAUCCCUGACAUUGCUGUCUAUAAGAAAUGUAUGCAUCUCACAUCAGUCUCCUUGCACUUAUUCUGCAAUUUUUUAAAAAAUUCCAUUUAUCUCUACCUGAAUUAUAUUAUGUUUGUGUUUUUUAUUUAUUGUCUGUCUCCCUACACUAGAAUGUAAGAUCCUUGAGGAGAGACACUUUGUCUCUAGUAUUCACUUCUGUUUUCUCAGUGCUGUAGACAAUCAAUUUUGUUUUCUGUUGAAUGGAUGAGUAAAUAAUUUCCAUAUUUUGAGCUUCUCUUGGGCAGAGCUAAAACUCUACAACUCUGUGCAUUGCAGAAAGGGUUUGGAACAGGCACUGGUCUAUGUUUUUUUUCUUUUUUAGUUCUUUUCUAAGUGAAGCUAAAAAUUACUUUUCCUGUCCAGAAUAUUAAGUUUACACCAUGCCUCCAUAUUCACAACUAAUGGGGAGAUAGAAAUCCUUAGAAAUUAUAAAGUUAAUUUUUACUUAUAUUUAUAAGUUUCUUAAGGAAAUCGCCUGAUAUUCUCAGGCAUUGUAAAGCCUCAUUUAUUUAGCUCUCAUAAAUUACACCUCUCUACACAUAAGAAUGGGGUUUUAGCCAAAUUCUACCAGAUGUACAAAGAAGAGCUGGUACCAUUCCUAAAGAAACUACUUCAAAAAAUUGAGGAGGAGGGACCCCUCACCAACUGAUUAUAUGAGGCCAAUGUCAUUCUGAUAUCAAAACCUGGCAGAGAUACAACAAGAAAAGAAAACUUCAGGCCAAUAUCUUGAUGGACAGUGAUUCAAAAACCCUCAACAAAAUAGUUGCAAACCAAAUCCAGCAGCACAUCAAAAAGCUAAUCCACCAUGAUCAAGUAGGCUUCAUCCCUGAGAUGCAAGGUUGUUUCAACAUAUACAAAUCAAUAAAUGUUAUUCAUCACACAAAUAGAACUAAAGACAAAAAUUACAUGAUUUUCUCAAUAGAUGCAGAAAAAGCUUUCAAUAAAAUUUAACACUCUUUCUGUAGUCCCAGCUACUCGGGAGGCUGAGGCAGGAGAAUGGCGUGAACCCGGGAGGCGGAGCUUGCAGUGAGCGGAGAUCGCGCCACUGCCUCCAGCCUGGGCGACAGAGCGAGACUCCGUCUCAAAAAAAAAACAAAAAACAAACAAACAAAAAUUAACAGUCUUUCAUUUAAAAACUCUCAACAAGCUAGGUAUUGAAGGAACAUACCUCAAAAUAAUAAGAGUCAUCUGUGACAAACCCACAGCCAACAUUAUACUGAAUGGGCAAAAGCUAGAAGUAUUCCCCUUAAAAGCCAGCACAAGACAAGGAUGCCCUUUCUCACUACUUCCACUCAAAAACAUCAUGAUACUGGUACAAAAAUAGGAACAUACACCAAUGGAACAGAAUAGAGAGCCCAGAAAUAAGGGUACACACCUAUGACCACCUGAUGUUUGGCAAAGCUGACAAAAACAAGCAAUGGGGAAAAGACUCCCUAUUUAAUAAAUGAUGCUGGAAUAACUGGCAAACCAUAUGCCAAAGACUGAAGCUGGACCCCUUCCUUACACCAUAUGCAAAAAUCAACUCAAGAUGAAUUAAAGACUUAAAUGUAAAACUCAAAACUAUAAAAACCCUGGAAGACAACCUAGGCAAUACCAUCCUGGACAUAGGAACGGGCAAAGCUUUCAUGACAGGACACCAAAAGCAAUCGCAACAAGAGCAAAAAUUGACAAAUGGGAUCUAAUUAUACUUAAGAGCUUCUGCACAGCAAAAGACACUAUCAACAGACUAAACAAACAACCUACCGAAUGGGAGAAAAUUUUUGUAAACUAUGCAUCUGACAAUGGCCUAAUAUCCAGCAUCUAUAAUAAACUUAAACAAAUUUAUAAGAGAAAAACAACCUUAUUAAAAAGUGGGCAAAGGACAUGAACAGACACUUUUAAAAGAAGAAAUAUAUGUGGUCAACAAACAUAUGUAAAAAAGCUCAAUAUCACUAAUCAUUAGAGAAAUGCAAAUAAAAACCAUAGUGAGAUACCAUGUGACACCAGUCAGAAUGGCUAUUAUUAAAAAGUCAAAAAACAACAGAUGCUGGUGAGAUUGUGGAGAAAAUGGAACACGUAUACAUUGUUGGUGGGAGUGUGAAUUAAUUCAACCACUGUGGAAAGCAGUAUAGUGAUUCCUCAAAGAGCUAAAAGCAGAACUAUCAUUCGACCCAGCAAUCCCAUUACUGGGUAUAUAACUAGAGGAAUAUAAAUCAUUCUACCAUAAUGACACAGGCACACAAAUGUUCAUUGUGGCACUAUUCACAAUAACAAAGUCAUGGAAUCAACCUAAAUGCCCUUCAGUAACAGACUGGAUAAAGAAAAAUGUGGUAUAUAUAUACCAUAAAACACUAUGCAGCCAUAAGAAAAGAACAAGAUCAUGUAUUUUGUGGGAACAUGGAUAGAGCUGAAGGUUAUUAUCCUAAGCAAACUAAUGCAGGAAGAGAAAAUAAAAUAUCACUUAUAAGUGGCAGCUAAUUGAUGAGAAUGUGUGAAGAUAAAGAAGGAAAGAACAGACACUGGGUUCUACUUAAGGGUGGAGGGUGAGAGGAGGGAGAGGAGCAGAAAAGAUAGCUACUUGGUAUUGGGCUUAAGUCCUGGGUAAUGAAAUAAUCAAUACAACAAACCCCCAUGAUGUGAGUUUACCUAUGUAACAAACCUGCACAUGUAACCCUAAACCUAAAAUAAAAGUUAAAAAAUAAGAUAAAAUAAAAUGAAAAUAUUACCUACCAGGCAGAUAUACGGUGAAUAUUUAACAAGAUAAUAAUGUAUACUACUUAGUACCUUGAAGGCCAGUUUAUAUUUGAAAUAUAGUUAACUUUUCUCCACCAUCAGCUGGCAUGCCUAAAUUGUGUUAUUUCAAAUGCUGGUUUUCCUGGGUACUAAUAGUGCUGUAUAUAAAAUGAUUCCAUGGUCAAAUACAAAAAAAAAAAUGAGGCCUCAUUCCUUUAUCCUUUCUAACAUCUUUGGCUAGGCACAAAAGGAUUUCCUUGGUCCAGGAUUUGAUAUCUCACAAAUGGAAAGAUAUGAUUUCUCAUUUUGUGAGUGAGGAGGAAGACUGAGAUACUGAUAAUUCUCUGCUUUUAAAUUACUUUAUUAAAAACAAGAUCUGUGACUGAUGACACAUCAUAAAUUAUCUAAGAGCCAACACUCCUCACCUAAUAAAUAUUAUUUUUUUCUAAGAUAAUUUACAUUUCUUAUGAGUUAUGAAGAUGACAUAUUUGUCUUAUUUAUAUUACUUUUGACCUUAUUUGAUACAAAAAGUAAUCCAGGCAGGAUAUUGUUAAGAAGUAGUUGGUUUAUUUCCAAACCUGCUUAUGUUAUAGGACCUGUUAUAUUAACUUAGAAAGUCUAUAUCUGGACCAGAUCAACCAGCUCUAA
rnacentral:lncRNA from 1 species